GUGUUGUAUGAAAGAAGAGAAGGUUAGCACUCCCCUUGACAAGGAUGGAAGAGGCUUUGGCCUACAACGUGCAUAUGGUUAAGGCACUGCCAUCUAUUAUUUACAAUGAAAGAAUCUACUUUUAUU
rnacentral:ncRNA from 1 species